CAGCAGCCGCGGUAAAACGUAGGUCCCGAGCGUUGUCCGGAUUUAUUGGGCGUAAAGCGAGCGCAGGCGGUUAGAUAAGUCUGAAGUUAAAGGCUGUGGCUUAACCAUAGUACGCUUUGGAAACUGUUUAACUUGAGUGCAAGAGGGGAGAGUGGAAUUCCAUGUGUAGCGGUGAAAUGCGUAGAUAUAUGGAGGAACACCGGUGGCGAAAGCGGCUCUCUGGCUUGUAACUGACGCUGAGGCUCGAAAGCGUGGGGAGCAAACAGGAUUAGAGACCCCCGUAGUCCCUGUCUCUUAUACA
rnacentral:rRNA from 1 species